rnacentral:rRNA from 1 species
AAUGAACGUUGGCGGCGUGGAUUAGGCAUGCAAGUCGUACGGGUCGGUGUAGCAAUACAACGGCAAGUGGCGAAAGGGAGAGUAACACGUAGAUACCUACCCUCUGGUCGGGGAUACCGCGGCAUAACCGCAAGUAAUACCCGAUAAAAUCUCCGGAUCAAAGGUGUGAUUCCGCCGGAGGAGGGGUCUGCGUUCUAUCAGCUUGUUGGUGAGGUAAUGGCUCACCAAGGCUAAGACGGAUACGGGGUGUGAGAGCAUGCCCCCGCUCACUGGGACUGAGACACUGCCCAGACACCUACGGGUGGCUGCAGUCGAGAAUCUUCGGCAAUGGGCGCAAGCCUGACCGAGCGACGCCGCGUGCGGGAUGAAGGCCUUCGGGUUGUAAACCGCUGUCGAGGGGAAUGAAGUGUAGGUGGGUACUCCCAUCUAUUUGACAGAUCCCUGUGGGAAGCAUGGGCUAAGUUCGUGCCAGCCGCCGCAGUAAUAC